rnacentral:rRNA from 1 species
UACGUAGGGGGCAAGCGUUGUCCGGAAUCAUUGGGCGUAAAGCGCGCGUAGGCGGCCCGGUAAGUCCGUUGUGAAAGUCAAAGGCUCAACCUUUGAACGCCGAUGGAUACUGCCGGGCUAGAGUCCGGAAGAGGCGAGUGGAAUUCCUGGUGUAGCGGUGAAAUGCGCAGAUAUCAGGAGGAACACCGGUGGCGAAGGCGGUGAUCUGGGCCGGCACUGACGCUGAGGAGCGAAAGCGUGGGUAGCAAACAGG